rnacentral:tRNA from 1 species
GGGGCCGUGGGGUAGCUUGGACUAUCCUUCUAGCUUGGGGUGCUAGAGACUCCAGUUCAAAUCUGGACGGCCCCA